rnacentral:rRNA from 1 species
AUUGAACGCUGGCGGCAUGCCUUACACAUGCAAGUCGAACGGCAGCACGGGUUCUUGCUCCUGGUGGCGAGUGGCGAACGGGUGAGUAAUACAUCGGAACAUGUCCUGUAGUGGGGGAUAGCCCGGCGAAAGCCGGAUUAAUACCGCAUACGAUCUACGGACGAAAGCGGGGGACCUUCGGGCCUCGCGCUAUAGGGCUGGCCGAUAGCUGAUUAGCUAGUUGGUGGGGUAAAGGCCUACCAAGGCGACGAUCAGUAGCUGGUCUGAGAGGACGACCAGCCACACUGGGACUGAGGCACGGCCCAGACUCCUACGGGAGGCAGCAGUGGGGAAUUUUGGGCAAUGGGCGAAAGCCUGAUCCAGCAAUGCCGCGUGUGUGAAGAAGGCCUUCGGGUUGUAAAGCACUUUUGUCCGGAAAGAAAUCCUUGGCUCUAAUACAGUCGGGGGAUGACGGUACCGGAAGAAUAAGCACCGGCUAACUACGUG